CACUUCUUCCAUCCACUUUAUUUCAAAUCUCCCCACCUAUACAUGCACCAAUACAUACACUUCCCCUCUUUGGCUCUUCCCAUCCACAUCCAUUUGUACCUCACUUCCUAUCCAUACACAAUCCCUCUUCUUCCAAUCUUCUUCCAACAUCUCACUUCCUAUCAACUCCAUCCUCAUAUUCAUCUUCUCCCUUACUCAACUUCUCCCAUCCACUCUUCCAUUCAAACCAACUAUUCAUCAUCUUCUUCCAUCUUCCACUCCAUAAUCAACUAUCAACUUCUUUAUCUAAUAAUUCAACCUUCCACUCAACUCUCUCUCUCUCUCUCUCUCUCAAAGAUUUCAGCCAUCUCCCCUCCCUAGGCCAAAACUACUUCAUUUUGUUGGAAAACCACCUCGGUUUUUCGGUGACCGCUCCCCGACCCGACCUGUACUCAAAACAAUCUUUAUAUCCCACACUUAGUCGACUUUUCGACUCCAUUGGUGACAUUAUUUUCGUCAUUUGAAGCCCCCAACACACAAAACCAGCACUGUGCAAUCGUUGUUUCUUUGUGCUUUUCCUGUUCCUGGCGAGUUUCUAACCCCCACGACUAUGGCUAGUCGUGCCCACACCUGUAACUCCUCUCCUUCUUCUAUAUCUCUUCUCUUAUAGGUCUUUUGGUCCUGAAGAUCCGAGCAAAUCUGUGGCUUCCUCCUCUAUCUGAGUACCCUCCUCGGCUCUCUAUCACUCGCAGCCCCCAUGCCCUCUCCUCGUUCUGAGCCACUUUACUGACGCCUCGGGCAUAGGGCACGAUCAACACAGUGUCCAACCCGAUCGCGGUAUGAGGUCUAGUCUCGAGUCACCGUUUCAACCUGAGUAGUAUCCAAACGGAGGAUGACUUAGGUCUGGACGUUUGUGUCCCCCGGGAAAGUGGAUUCUCCAAAGUGGUGAGAUCGUGCGUACACAUGCGAGUCUCGACGAGAUGAAAUUUGGAGGAGCUGGAGGUAGAUCGACGAACGCGAGGGAGAGCAACGGUUGCGAGGGGCCUCGAUGGCUGAAAUGGGCUCACACUAACUUGAGCGUCGAAGAGAGAAAUCGGUCAUCAUCCCCAAUCUCCCCUUGUGCAAGUGUUUGAGACUAAACGUGGGCUGUGAAUCAAGUCUCUUCAUCGACAAAACACACGUGAGUUACUCGUGGUUUGAAUUCGAAUUUCCUGGUCCUAACAAGUAGGGAAUCUUUGUGUUACACAAAUAUAGAUACGUUUAAGGUCGAGAUUUUAUCUGGGUAAAAUCUAAGGGCUAAAAGUGAAAACGACCAGGGUUGUUGUUUUUCAAUCAACCGCCCUAUAAAGUAUGAAGUACAAACUUGCAAGGGAUCAUGGAUUCGUUCAGUUCAUGCAGAAUACUUGGAGUCAUCCAAAUUCACGGCACAUGGUAACUUUCCCCUACUUAAUCGGGCUAUACCGGUUUAAAGGUAUCUUACAAUCAGUCCUAAUCACCUCUUCGUGCAUUUUGAAAAAUCUUUAUUAUUUGUGCUAUCGAUUAAAAAAAAAAAAGGAACUUUGAUUUUCGUUUGAAAUCUUAUGAGUAGUAUCUGCUUUGACUAUUUACAAUUUACAUGAGAACUCGGGAGGAUAGGCCAUUAUCAUCUUCUUUAAAAAGCGUAAAAAGGUUAGUUCAAAUUGUUCGAUAUUUGUUUUUCUUAAAUAAGAUUCCGUGUUUGAGCCUUAUGAAUGGAAGUAAUCUAUGCUGGAAGAAUUUCACUUUUUAGUGUGCCAACCGACUUGUACUGGAUUAAUCAGGACUCAAAUAGGCGUUCGCAUAUUAUUGUGUACACCGAAAAGUAUAGGUAACGCAAGCAUGAUUUCCAACACAACAAUUUUUAUAUUUUACUUUUUGGGUGAAAGAACAACAGAAUGUAUUUCAAGAUGCAACAAAGUACCCAAUUAUUUCAGAAUGCCUCUGUCUUCUGAGGGAGAUAUAUAGGCAUACAGCAUUUGAUACAUAUAUAUAAUAUUGCAAGCAUUUUAUUUCUGGACAUA